rnacentral:rRNA from 1 species
UACGGGGGGAGCAAGCGUUGUUCGGAUUUACUGGGCGUAAAGGGCGCGUAGGCGGCCAGCACAAGUCAGUUGUGAAAUCUCCGAGCUUAACUCGGAACGGUCAACUGAUACUGUGCGGCUAGAGUGCGGAAGGGGCAACUGGAAUUCUUGGUGUAGCGGUGAAAUGCGUAGAUAUCAAGAGGAACACCUGCGGCGAAGGCGGGUUGCUGGGCCGACACUGACGCUGAUGCGCGAAAGCCAGGGGAGCGAACCGGG